UACGGAGGGUCCAAGCGUUAUCCGGAAUCAUUGGGCUUAAAGGGUCCGUAGGCGGUUUUGUAAGUCAGUGGUGAAAGCCCAUCGCUCAACGGUGGAACGGCCAUUGAUACUGCAAGACUUGAAUUAUUGUGAAGUAACUAGAAUAUGUAGUGUAGCGGUGAAAUGCUUAGAGAUUACAUGGAAUACCAAUCGCGAAGGCAGGUUACUAACAAUAUAUUGACGCUGAUGGACGAAAGCGUGGGUAGCGAACAGG
rnacentral:rRNA from 1 species